UUCGAUGGUAGGAUAGUGGCCUA
rnacentral:siRNA from 1 species